GGAGGAGGAAGCAGAGGAGGGAGCAGAACAGGCAGCAAAAACAGACCGACUGUCUGCCGCAAAAAUUAAAAGUUCACCUGCGGCUCCCCCACUAACGGCUGUUGAAUGGGAUCCUCUUCUGGGCUUGACCUUCGACCUGCUAGGUGAAAAGCCAGCUUCCUGAGGCCAGAAAGACCACAGGUUCAUAAGAGUCAGUCACUCGACGGAUGCGACCACAGAGAUCCCCGAGGACCACAGGACUCUUGGUUACAUACAACAGAAUCCAUUUAGAAAGGGAAAUGGUUAGGUGACUCAUCUCCAGCAGAACCACAGUGAGCCUGAAGGCUGCAUGGCCAGGAGCAACACCUGUCUCCCAGGUGCAAGGGAAUCUGAGGAGGCUGAACCAAAACAACCCAACUAUCCUUCAUCAGAUGAAUGGAUAAACAGCUACUACUUGGCCACACUGCGGAAGG